rnacentral:rRNA from 1 species
UACGGAGGGUGCAAGCGUUGUUCGGAAUCACUGGGCGUAAAGGGCGUGUAGGCGGUCCGCUAAGUCUGAUGUGAAAGCCCGGGGCUCACCCCCGGAAGGGCAUUGGAAACUGGCGGACUCGAGUCUCGGAGAGGAAGGUGGAAUUCCUGGUGUAGCGGUGAAAUGCGUAGAUAUCAGGAGGAAUACCGGUGGUGAAGGCGGCCUUCUGGACGAUGACUGACGCUGAGACGCGAAAGCGUGGGGAGCAAACAGG